AAAAAAUAUAAGUUUUUUUCAUUGCUUACAAGGUUGGGAAUUUUAUUUAUAGUUUUAUUUGUAUUUUAUAUCAAAGUAUUCAUUUACACUUUAUUAAAAUAUUAUUAAUAUAUAGCAUUAUAAGGCAAUUAUUUAUGUAAAAAGUACAAUGUAAUUAUAAUUUAUACUGUUGAUAAACCACUUUCAUGUCCAAAGGUGAAAGGUGUUAAAUUUAACUAAAUAGCUUUGUCUCAAUGAAUGGUUAGAACAUUUGGAAAAAAAAACCAAUGUCAUGGGAAAUUUUCAAAUCAGAACUUUUUUGGGAAAGCAAAACAUUUCAAGCUAUCAGACAACAGAUUUUGUUUCUAAUUAAAGUUCUAACAAAAAUGACAAAGCUGUUAUGGUUACUAGAUAGUUAUUCAGUAGAUUAAGUAACCAUACAUUUAAGGUAAUUGUUGGGGAUUUAAAAGUGCAACAUUUUUGCAUAUAUAGAUUAUAGAUAAUUUAAGGAUUUUUUAUCUAUAUUUCAGUAUGUAGUGUACACUUAAAUUGUGCAAUGUCAAAUUCAAAAGUUCAUUCAGUUUAAAGAUUGUAUAAAAUAUACACUUUAGCAGAUUAGUUUUGUACUAUCCUUGAAUCAACAAAAAGUUUUUUUUUAUAAGAGUGAGGGAAUUCAGCUGAUAUUUUAACGAGUGAUUUCCCUUUAAUGAGGAUUUGUUUUACCCUUUUUUGUGUUUGUAACAAAACUGAAGAAAAGAAGUUUUGGUGUAGUCAUGUUUGUGGACUAGUAUACCACUUUUGGUGUAUUUUGUUAUUGUUUUUUGUUUAGAAAGAAACAAUUGUAUUAAAGUGUUAUUGCUGUA
rnacentral:lncRNA from 1 species